rnacentral:rRNA from 1 species
GGAUACUGUGGUAAUUCUGGAGCUAUACAUGCAUAAAAGAUAAAACAUUUAUUGUUUUAUUGCGUAUAUUAGUAUUAAAACCAAGCAUUCUUCGGAAUGUUUUGUGUUGAAACUGAAUAUAUCAUGCUGAUCGUAUGGUCUUGUACCGACGACAUGUCAUUCAAGUGUCUGAUCUAUCAACUUUCUAUAUAAGUAUAUAGUACUUAUAUGGUUUUGACGGAUAACGGGGUAUUAGGGUACGACUCCGGAGAAAAUGCCUGAGAAACGGCGUUUACAUCCAAGGAAGGCAGCAGGCGCGAAAAUUACCCACUCUCAGUACGAGGAGGUAGUGACGAGAAAUGACAAGAUCUAUUCCUUCGGGGAUGGAUCAUUGGAAUGGUUUGAUUUUAAAAUCAUUAAAGAGUAUCAAUGAGAGGGCAAGUCUGGUGCCAGCAGCCGCGGUAAUUCCAGCUCUCAUACUGCAUUGAAUUGUUGUUGCGGUUAAAAAGCUCGUAGUUGGAUCUGUACAUGAUAGGUUAGUUCAUCCUUUGGAUUGUAACUAAUACUAAAUGUUUUUUAUUAGAUUUCUAUAUGGAUUUUCGGAUUCAUAAAGUAUCUAAUGAGUUUACUUUGAAU